UGACCGCGACUCUCCGACGGUCCAGCCAUU
rnacentral:sRNA from 1 species